rnacentral:miRNA from 1 species
UCCCCUGCAUAAGGACAGUGU